rnacentral:lncRNA from 15 species
AUGGCUUAUUUUACAGUUGGCCUUUCAUUUAAAGACGUCAGGCUUUUUUUUGAAGAACAAAGUUUUUCUGUUGCACCGAGUUGGGCUGACUCACCUCAUCCAUCACGAGAUGGAGAGCUGAUGCGAAUACAUGCGGCUUCAUCCUUUGAUCCACGUCCACUUCCAACAAGCCAUAUUACCCGGAGCUCUUGGGGAGGAGGUGAAGCGCUGCCCCCUAUAUUUUUGGAGCACCUGUUCAGGAAUUACACACUGCUCUGUUAAAUGUUCACUAUAUUCCUGAGACCCCCAAACUCCAAAUACGAGGAGUCCUUGUCCUUACACAUCCCAGUUUUUGCACUGAAACCCUCUUACUUCCGGUCUCCGGCAGGAAGAGCAUGAUGGAGGUGACUGUUAAAGCUCCCAUAACACCAGCUGAAAAUAGUGAGAGAGUAGAGUAGAGUAGAGUAGAGUAGUUCCCUUUUCCUGCUUAGUCACGCUGAAACUGGCAUGAACUAACAUUAUCAACAGAACAUAAACAACAUAAACUGGCACGACUGGUCACAAUGCAGACUAUUAACAAUAUAGUAAAAAUGAAUAUGGUUGCAGCUUUAACUUGCAGCAUAUUAUCUGACUAUCUUGGAUAUGAUAACAGUGUACUGUCUGACCACAGCUGGUUAGCAUUAGGGAGGUCUAGGCCUCCAGACCUAUUCUCUAUCACAUUACAGGUACACACACACAUUUUAUUUCACUCACUCACCUGGAAGAAGUCUUUCUUGCUGAACAAAGCAGCGUUCUAACCUGGACUGACAGCUGUUCAUUGUAAACCAUCCAUCAGGGAUUCAGCCAUAAGAUCUGUUUGGCAGGUAUAAAGUGGCGAUCAUCUCAUGGCAGAAAAACAACUUCUGCACGCACUUCCGUCAUUAAUGUCUAUCCGUUUUUUUUUCUGGCAGUGGUCCUGUGCUGCAUUAGGUGAGCUGUGCGGGAAGUCUUGCUGAACUCGCUGAACUCUGAACCCAAGCUAAAGCCUGACAGACUGCUAUAUCAAGGAGCAGAGCGGUCAGGGAGAGCGCCUGUGUGUGCAUCUCUUCUAACCACAACUCCCACAGACUUCAUCAUUUCCCACAGCUCUACGCUGUGCAAUGCAAGAGCCUUGUUUUGCUGUUUUAGUUGGAACAGCCCAUAGGGCCAAACAAUCUGAAAAAGGACAACAUGAAAACAUCCCAGUGCGUAAUUGAAUAUACAUGUAGGCUAUAUGAAUGGCACUCUAAUGGCCGUGAUGCACAUUAAAAAAAUGACUUAUGGGUUAUGUGGCUUAAGAAG